GGAGUUGGGAGGAGGAGCACUGGGGCAUAACCGUCAGCAGCUGCAGCUUGGAGAAGCUGGUUCUCUUGUCUUCAAGAAGGCAGAUCUCUCCCUAGCCUGCUGAGCCUUCUGUGUUUUGGGGAAGCUGAAUACAGACAAUAUGGAGGCCUCAGGCUCAGAGGAUGGCAGAGUCUUCAGAUGGAUGGAGGGAGCUGCAGUCACUGAACCACUGCAGGGAGAGAAGUACUCACAGACCAGGAACGCUCAACUUGGACUGUUAUGUGACAGAAAGAACUUGAUGUAUACCUCCUGACCUGUUCAUCUUGUAGCUGCCUCUUGACAGGUGCCAAGAACUGUGAUUUGUGCUACAGAUACACAGUCUCCUUUCUCAAAGUGUUCUGAGUUCAGUUGGGUUGACAGGCAAGUGAACAGAACAGAUAUUUGCAGUAGGAGGAG
rnacentral:lncRNA from 1 species